CCAUCAGUUCGGCUGGGCACUCUAUGGAGACUGCCACCUAAAGUGGAGGAAGGUGGGGAUGACGUCAAGUCAGCAUCGGCCCUUACUCCGGGGCUACACACGUGCUACAAUGGCCGGUACAAAGGGUUGCGAAGCCGUGAGGUGGAGCGAAUCCUCAAAAAGCCGGCCUCAGUUCGGAUUGGAGGCUGCAACUCGCCUCCAUGAAGUCGGAAUCGCUAGUAACCGCAGAUCAGCUACGUUGCGGUGAAUACGUUCCCGGGCCUU
rnacentral:rRNA from 1 species